rnacentral:rRNA from 1 species
AGGACGAACGCUGGCGGCGUGCUUAACACAUGCAAGUCGAGCGGUAAGGCCUUUCGGGGUACACGAGCGGCGAACGGGUGAGUAACACGUGGGUGAUCUGCCCUGCACUUCGGGAUAAGCCUGGGAAACUGGGUCUAAUACCGGAUAUGACCUCCUAUCGCAUGGUGGGUGGUGGAAAGAUUUAUCGGUGCAGGAUGGGCCCGCGGCCUAUCAGCUUGUUGGUGGGGUAAUGGCCUACCAAGGCGACGACGGGUAGCCGACCUGAGAGGGUGACCGGCCACACUGGGACUGAGACACGGCCCAGACUCCUACGGGAGGCAGCAGUGGGGAAUAUUGCACAAUGGGCGAAAGCCUGAUGCAGCGACGCCGCGUGAGGAUGACGGCCUCGGUUGUAACUACUUCUAGCAGGAACGAAGACGCAAGUAGACGGUACCGUGCAGAAGAAAGACACCGGCCUAACUAACCGUACGUCCACG